rnacentral:rRNA from 1 species
AUUGAACGCUGGCGGCAGGCCUAACACAUGCAAGUCGAACGAGUGGCGGACGGGUGAGUAAUGUCUGGGAAACUGCCCGAUGGAGGGGGAUAACUACUGGAAACGGUAGCUAAUACCGCAUACCAUCGGAUGUGCCCAUAUGGGAUUAGCUUGUAGGUGAGGUAACGGCUCACCUAGGCGACGAUCCCUAGCUGGGCUGAGAGGAGUACCAGCCACACUGAGACUGAGACACGGCCCGGACUCCUACGGGAGGCAGCGGUGGGGAAGCUUGGACAAGGGGCGCAAGCCUGAUGCAGCCAUGCCGCGUGUAUGAAGAAGUCAUUCGGGUGGUAAAGUACUUUCAGCGGGGAGGCGUUACCCGCAGAAGAAGCACCGGCUAACUCCGUGCCAGCAGCCGCGGUAAUUC